GGGAGAUGAAAGUCUCCAGGUCUCUCGGAAA
rnacentral:misc_RNA from 1 species